GACAGAGGGUGCAACCGUUGUCCGGAAUUACUGGGCGUCAAGGGCUCGUAGGCGGCCAACUAAGUCAGACGUGAAAUCCCUCGGCUUAACCGGGGAACUGCAUCUGAUACUGGAUGGCUUGAGUUCGGGAGAGGGAUGCGGAAUUCCAGGUGUAGCGGUGAAAUGCGUAGAUAUCUGGAGGAACACCGGUGGCGAAGGCGGCAUCCGGGACCGACACUGACGCUGAGGAGCGAAAGCCAGGGGAGCAAACGGG
rnacentral:rRNA from 1 species